rnacentral:rRNA from 1 species
UACAGAGGGUGCGAGCGUUGUCCGGAAUUACUGGGCUUAAAGGGCGCGUAGGCGGGCCGUCCAGUCGGGGGUGAAAUCGCCCGGCCCAACCGGGCAAGGGCCCCCGAUACUGACGGCCUUGAGCGGGGUAGGGGCGGCCGGAACUUCCGGUGGAGCGGUGAAAUGCGUAGAUAUCGGGAGGAACACCAGUGGCGAAGGCGGUUGCCUGGAGCUUUGCUGACGCUGAUGCGCGAAAGCGUGGGGAGCGAUCCGG